CAGCAGCCACGGUAAUACAGAGGGUGCGAGCGUUAAUCGGAUUUACUGGGCGUAAAGCGUGCGUAGGCGGCUAAUUGAGUCGGAUGUGAAAUCCCCGAGCUUAACUUGGGAAUUGCAUUCGAUACUGGUUAGCUAGAGUGUGGGAGAGGAUGGUAGAAUUCCAGGUGUAGCGGUGAAAUGCGUAGAGAUCUGGAGGAAUACCGAUGGCGAAGGCAGCCAUCUGGCCUAACACUGACGCUGAGGUACGAAAGCAUGGGGAGCAAACAGGAUUAGAUACCCCCGUAGUCCCUGUCUCUUAUAC
rnacentral:rRNA from 1 species